rnacentral:lncRNA from 1 species
CUUGGCCAGGCUGGUCUUGAACUCCUGACCUCAUGAUCCACCUGCCUCGGCCUCCCAAAGUGCUGGGAUACAGGCGUGAGCCACUGCGCCCAACCUAUAACUGACUUUCUGUGAAAGGUCAGUGAAUUAGCAGGAGAUUUCUUAGCAGAUUGUUCCAAAAAAAGUAAGAAACUACUAUGAUUUAAUAUAAAGAAAAUUAAACUAGGAAUCCUAACAAUGACUUGGGUUUCCAUCUGAAUCUACCACUAGCUGCUUAUGUAACCUUGGCCUAGCUAAUCUAGGCCUCUAAGUCCCCAGCUAUAAAACAGAAAUACCUUGUCUUUACAUAACUCAAAGCAUAUACAACCAAAGGAUUUUGCCAUUGCAAAACGUG